AUACGGAGGGUGCAAGCGUUAAUCGGAAUUACUGGGCGUAAAGCGUACGUAGGCGGUUUAUUAAGUCAGAUGUGAAAGCCCCGGGCUUAACCUGGGAACUGCAUUUGAAACUAGUAGACUAGAGUAUGGUAGAGGGGGGUAGAAUUCCUAGUGUAGCGGUGAAAUGCGUAGAUAUUAGGAGGAAUACCAGUGGCGAAGGCGGCCCCCUGGACCAAUACUGACGCUCAGGUACGAAAGCGUGGGGAGCGAACAGGAUUAGAAACCCGAGUAGUCC
rnacentral:rRNA from 1 species